rnacentral:rRNA from 1 species
ACGUUAGCGGCGGACGGGUGAGUAACACGUGGGUAACCUACCUAUAAGACUGGGAUAACUUCGGGAAACCGGAGCUAAUACCGGAUAAUAUUUCGAACCGCAUGGUUCGAUAGUGAGAGGUGGUUUUGCUAUCACUUAUAGAUGGACCCGCGCCGUAUUAGCUAGUUGGUAAGGUAACGGCUUACCAAGGCGACGAUACGUAGCCGACCUGAGAGGGUGAUCGGCCACACUGGAACUGAGACACGGUCCAGACUCCUACGGGAGGCAGCAGCA